UAAUACAUGCAAGUCGAACGCUUUUUUCAAUCAUCGUAGCUUGCUACACCGAUUGAAAAUUGAGUGGCGAACGGGUGAGUAACACGUGGGUAACCUGCCCAAAAGAGGGGGAUAACACUUGGAAACAGGUGCUAAUACCGCAUAACCAUGAUGACCGCAUGGUCAUUAUGUAAAAGAUGGUUUCGGCUAUCACUUUUGGAUGGACCCGCGGCGUAUUAACUUGUUGGUGGGGUAACGGCCUACCAAGGUAAUGAUACGUAGCCGAACUGAGAGGUUGAUCGGCCACAUUGGGACUGAGACACGGCCCAAACUCCUACGGGAGGCAGCAGUAGGGAAUCUUCCACAAUGGGCGCAAGCCUGAUGGAGCAACGCCGCGUGAGUGAAGAAGGUCUUCGGAUCGUAAAACUCUGUUGUUAGAGAAGAACAUGCGAGAGAGUAACUGUUCUUGUAUUGACGGUAUCUAACCAGAAAGCCACGGCUAACUACGUGCCAGCAAGCCGCGGUAAUAC
rnacentral:rRNA from 2 species